AUCACUUCUCAGCCUUUCGAUUAAGAUCAAGUAUAGUAUCUGUUCUUAUCAGUUAAAUAUCUUAUAUGUUCCUGUUCUCAGGACAAUAUUAAAUGGAUUGUUUGAAAUAGCAAAUGGAACAUAAGUUUGUUUUUCUACUCAUAUUUAAUCUGCAAUGCUUCAGGAAAAAGUUUAGGCAAA
rnacentral:snRNA from 1 species